AGGAGAAAUGACAGCUACAUGGUGUUAUCUCAGCUACCUGAAAGCAUAGAUAACCACAGACCCUGGACAAGAGAAAGCUGAUUCAGUUCAUGUCCUAUAUGAUACAAGUUUCUGGUGCUGUCAUUAUGAGUCUGCUCUACAGUAGGAAGCUCAGGAGGAAGAAACAUUCCUGUCAAUGGUUACAAAGGCUGCUGAGCUGCUCCUGCUGAAAACCACUGGGGACAAAAUCAAAAGGAAUGACUGCUGCUCUGAGGGACCUAGACAGGCUGGAGGAAGGCAAAAAAAGGAGCAUCCUGAAAUUCAGCGAAGUCCUGCCCGUUGGAAGGAAGAGCCCUUGUCAACCACACAGGCAGAGAACUGGCAGACCCCUCCACUGCAGUCACCUGGCUCAUGGAGCGGAUGAAGAAAUGUCUAAGUCUACAACAGCAACAGGAAGUUCAUCACAUCCUUUUGAAUUGCUCACUGUCUCCCAGAGCUGCUUCCUUGCUGCUGCUGAUCCCAAUCAGAACUGACCUGUGUGGCUGAUGUGCCCAAGGACAAGGCAGUGGCCAUCAUGUCCAGCCUCACAAACACAUUCCUAGAAACAACAAUGUCCACAUGCUUGUCCUAGUGUCCCCAGUGUGAAAAGGCUUCCUGAAGAAGGCAGAUGAUAAUUUCAGCCUACAAAAGGAGAGGCCCUUCAUUUCCUCACAAAAAGAGAGAGAAACUAAAGAAGGAAGCUAUGACUGUUUUUACUCUAUGCUCCUUUGCAUCACCAACCCAGUUUCAAGGAAACAAAAAAUCAUGGUUUUAAGCUAAUAAAAACUAUAGUAGCUUCAACUCA